rnacentral:rRNA from 1 species
AUUGAACGCUGGCGGAAUGCUUUACACAUGCAAGUCGAGCGGCAGCGCGGGGCAACCUGGCGGCGAGCGGCGAACGGGUGAGUAAUGCAUCGGAACAUGUCCAUGUCGUGGGGGAUAGCCCGGCGAAAGCCGGAUUAAUACCGCAUACGCCCGGGAGGGGAAAGGGGGGGACUCGCAAGGGCCUCACGCGCUUGGGUUGGCCGAUGUCCGAUUAGCUAGUUGGCGGGGUAAGAGCCCACCAAGGCGAUGAUCGGUAGCUGGUCUGAGAGGAUGAUCAGCCACACUGGGACUGAGACACGGCCCAGACUCCUACGGGAGGCAGCAGUGGGGAAUUUUGGACAAUGGGGGCAACCCUGAUCCAGCCAUUCCGCGUGAGUGAAGAAGGCCUUCGGGUUGUAAAGCUCUUUUGUCCGGAACGAAACGGGGGCGGUGAAUAUCCGUCCUUACUGACGGUACCGGAAGAAUAAGCACCGGCUAACUACGUGCCAGCAGCCGCGGUAAAAC